rnacentral:rRNA from 1 species
AUGUGUUACAACCCUAAAAAGGACAAAGUCUAUUGUUUUGUCCGCCCCAUCUUUUCUCGACAUAAUUGGCAGCUUCCCCUGCAUAGGUUACCUGUGAAUGACGGCUCCACUCGGUUGCAGAUAUUUGCUUGUUCUUUGCUUAAGGGCGAUGUCUUGCCAUGUUUUAACGAAGCUCGGGAGUUCCUGUCACUGUCACCAUCCGUUGUCCUGAGGCCUCUAGUCCACAGGAAAGCUGGAGAUCUUCUUAGUGGGAGGUCAAAAUUUAAUUUCCAGCCGGGCAGCAUUAAGAGAUGCAUGGAAUCGGUAUCCAGAUUUUCUUUAUCCUGUGAUCAAACGUGUUUUAAGGAUAGGUUUCACAGCCAGUUUGGAGCAUCAUGGGGGAAAAUGCACGGGGAAAUUCGUCUUGAGGGCGAGGAUCUUAUCCCAAAGGGGUCCAAGAAGGUUAAAGGGUUACUUGUUUCAAGCAUAUUGUAG